rnacentral:tRNA from 1 species
UGAUUCAUCGUUCAGUUGGUAAAGGAGCGGAGUAAAAAUCCGUAGGUCGUGGGUUCAAAUCCCGCAAGCAG